rnacentral:rRNA from 1 species
AUUGAACGCUGGCGGCAGGCCUAACACAUGCAAGUCGAGCGGAUGAAGGGAGCUUGCUCCUGGAUUCAGCGGCGGACGGGUGAGUAAUGCCUAGGAAUCUGCCUGGUAGUGGGGGAUAACGUCCGGAAACGGGCGCUAAUACCGCAUACGUCCUGAGGGAGAAAGUGGGGGAUCUUCGGACCUCACGCUAUCAGGUGAGCCUAGGUCGGAUUAGCUAGUUGGUGGGGUAAAGGCCUACCAAGGCGACGAUCCGUAACUGGUCUGAGAGGAUGAUCAGUCACACUGGAACUGAGACACGGUCCAGACUCCUGCGGGAGGCAGCAGUGGGGAAUAUUGGACAAUGGGCGAAAGCCUGAUCCAGCCAUGCCGCGUGUGUGAAGAAGGUCUUCGGAUUGUAAAGCACUUUAAGUUGGGAGGAAGGGCAGUAAGUUAAUACCUUGCUGUUUUGACGUUACCAACAGAAUAAGCACCGGCUAACUUCGUG